ACUCAAAGGAAUUGACGGAGACUCGUUCAAGCGGUGGAGCAUGUGGUUUAAUGCGAUACAGCGCGCAGAACCUUACCAAUCCUUGAAUACAAGGUCAAGUUGCAUUAUGCAACAAGAAUUUUAAUAUUUGGUUAAUUUUUGACUAUAAAAUAUUGAAGUUGCUUUGUUACAGGUGCUGCAUGGCUGUCGUCAGCUCGUGUCGUGAGACGUUUGGUUAACUCCACUAACGAGCGCAACCCCUAUUCUUAAUUUAUUUUUUGCUUUAGCGAAAAAUGUUUAGGAAAACAGUUACUUAAUAAGUAAAGGAAGGUGGGGAAGAUGUCAAGUCUUUAUGGCCCUAAUGGAUUGGGCUACACACGUGCUACAAUGGUAAUUACAAAAAGAGGCAAUGUUGUAAAGCAAAGCAAAUCUUCAAAAAUUAUCUCAGUUCAGAUUGUUCUCUGCAAUUCGAGAACAUGAAGGAGGAAUCGCUAGUAAUCGUGAAUCAGCACGUCACGGUGAAUCCAUUUCUCGAGUCUUGUACACACCGCCCGU
rnacentral:rRNA from 1 species